AUUGAACGCUGGCGGCAUGCUUUACACAUGCAAGUCGAACGGUAACAGGCCUUCGGGUGCUGACGAGUGGCGAACGGGUGAGUAAUGCAUCGGAACGUACCCAGAGGUGGGGGAUAACGCAGCGAAAGCUGUGCUAAUACCGCAUGUGAUCUGAGGAUGAAAGCGGGGGACCGAGCAGCAAUGUUUGGCCUCGCGCCUUUGGAGCGGCCGAUGUCGGAUUAGCUAGUUGGUGGGGUAAGGGCCUACCAAGGCGACGAUCCGUAGCUGGUCUAAGAGGACGAUCAGCCACACUGGGACUGAGACACGGCCCAGACUCCUACGGGAGGCAGCAGUGGGGAAUUUUGGACAAUGGGCGCAAGCCUGAUCCAGCAAUGCCGCGUGCGUGAAGAAGGCCUUCGGGUUGUAAACCGCUUUUGGCAGGAACGAAACGGUGUCCGCUAAUACCGGGCGCUAAUGACGGUACCUGCAGAAUAAGCACCGGCUAACUACGUG
rnacentral:rRNA from 1 species